AGUGAACGCUGGCGGUAGGCCUAACACAUGCAAGUCGAACGGCAGCACAGUAAGAGCUUGCUCUUACGGGUGGCGAGUGGCGGACGGGUGAGGAAUACAUCGGAAUCUACUUUUUCGUGGGGGAUAACGUAGGGAAACUUACGCUAAUACCGCAUACGACCUACGGGUGAAAGCAGGGGAUCUUCGGACCUUGCGCGAUUGAAUGAGCCGAUGUCGGAUUAGCUAGUUGGCGGGGUAAAGGCCCACCAAGGCGACGAUCCGUGGCUGGUCUGAGAGGAUGAUCAGCCACACUGGAACUGGGACACGGUCCAGACUCCUACGGGAGGCAGCAGUGGGGAAUAUUGGACAAUGGGCGCAAGCCUGAUCCAGCCAUACCGCGUGGGUGAAGAAGGCCUUCGGGUUGUAAAGCCCUUUUGUUGGGAAAGAAAAGCAGCAGGUUAAUACCCCGCUGUUCUGACGGUACCCAAAGAAUAAGCACCGGCUAACUUCGUG
rnacentral:rRNA from 1 species